rnacentral:sRNA from 1 species
AACAAAAUUAACAACCACAAAAAUAAAACAAAAACUUACACUCUGUAUUGCCCUUUUUUAUCCCCAACAAAAGCAUCCCACAUUUGUUCUUCUGCAAUAUCACUUCUAUUUCUCCCUCCUUUCACAAGGAAGGGCGUAGAAGAAUCCACCAUAAUAGUUCUAUAACCAGAUAAUAAAAACAUUUAAAUUUCAUCAGCAAAACAAAACAAAGAAAACC